rnacentral:rRNA from 1 species
GACAGAGGAUGCAAGCGUUAUCCGGAAUGAUUGGGCGUAAAGCGUCUGUAGGUGGCUUUUCAAGUCCGCCGUCAAAUCCCAGGGCUCAACCCUGGACAGGCGGUGGAAACUACCAAGCUGGAGUACGGUAGGGGCAGAGGGAAUUUCCGGUGGAGCGGUGAAAUGCAUUGAGAUCGGAAGGAACGCCCGUGGCGAAAGCGAGGCCCUGGACCCUUACUGACGCUGAGACGCGAAAGCCAGGGGAGCGAACGGG